GAUGAACGCUGGCGGCGUGCCUAAUACAUGCAAGUCGAGCGAACAGACGAGGAGCUUGCUCCUCUGACGUUAGCGGCGGACGGGUGAGUAACACGUGGAUAACCUACCUAUAAGACUGGGAUAACUUCGGGAAACCGGGGCUAAUACCGGAUAAUAUAUUGAACCGCAUGGUUCAAUAGUGAAAGACGGUUUUGCUGUCACUUAUAGAUGGAUCCGCGCCGCAUUAGCUAGUUGGUAAGGUAACGGCUUACCAAGGCGACGAUGCGUAGCCGACCUGAGAGGGUGAUCGGCCACACUGGAACUGAGACACGGUCCAGACUCCUACGGGAGGCAGCAGUAGGGAAUCUUCCGCAAUGGGCGAAAGCCUGACGGAGCAACGCCGCGUGAGUGAUGAAGGUCUUCGGAUCGUAAAACUCUGUUAUUAGGGAAGAACAAAUGUGUAAGUAACUAUGCACGUCUUGACGGUGCCUAAUCAGAAAGCCACGGCUAACUACGUG
rnacentral:rRNA from 1 species